UUUAGUGGACAUUUUUCCACAGCGCCGUCUAUUGGGCUGAAUCAUGUUUAUCGGCAUGCGUCUAUGUCUGAACACUGCCUGAUGUGUCCAAGGUGGACUUUAUUACUAUACUAUACAUGUAACCAUAUGUGUUUGCUGAGGUAGAGUGACCAUAAAUGGUGCAAGGGGCUAUCCUCCAUGGUGAGUCAGAGAUGCAUUAUUCCCCUUGGAAUCCCUCACAUGUAAUCUCCUUGGUUGAGAGCCAUCCAAUCCGGACUCCUGGCUGAGAGAGGGAGAAGGAAAAACCUCUGAAGGUUACAUCAGGGCAUUCGGGUCACACACCGCUCAUCAUCCACACUUUGUAACAAAUUCUAAUAGAAGAAGUGACUCAGACAAGGCUGCAGAUCGGUGACACAGACGGAGCAGGCGGGAGGGAUCCACCAUGGGCCUCUCGGGAUGUAUUCUCCAGGAUCCCUCCGGUACCAGCGUAUGGCCCAGCCAUGAUGUUCCUUACGCUCUCUCUUCCAUGCCCAGUACUCGGGGUCUUGUGCCAUGAUCUAGAAUUAAACACAAUAUAAAUUGUUAUAAUAAACACAGACUUUCAUUCCUA